CGGUAGAGAGAAGCUUGCUUCUCUUGAGAGCGGCGGACGGGUGAGUAAUGCCUAGGAAUCUGCCUGGUAGUGGGGGAUAACGUUCGGAAACGGACGCUAAUACCGCAUACGUCCUACGGGAGAAAGCAGGGGACCUUCGGGCCUUGCGCUAUCAGAUGAGCCUAGGUCGGAUUAGCUAGUUGGUGGGGUAAUGGCUCACCAAGGCGACGAUCCGUAACUGGUCUGAGAGGAUGAUCAGUCACACUGGAACUGAGACACGGUCCAGACUCCUACGGGAGGCAGCAGUGGGGAAUAUUGGACAAUGGGCGAAAGCCUGAUCCAGCCAUGCCGCGUGUGUGAAGAAGGUCUUCGGAUUGUAAAGCACUUUAAGUUGGGAGGAAGGGUUGUAGAUUAAUACUCUGCAAUUUUGACGUUACCGACAGAAUAAGCACCGGCUAACUCUGUGCCAGCAGCCGCGGUAAUACAGAGGGUGCAAGCGUUAAUCGGAAUUACUGGGCGUAAAGCGCGCGUAGGUGGUUUGUUAAGUUGGAUGUGAAAUCCCCGGGCUCAACCUGGGAACUGCAUUCAAAACUGACUGACUAGAGUAUGGUAGAGGGUGGUGGAAUUUCCUGUGUAGCGGUGAAAUGCGUAGAUAUAGGAAGGAACACCAGUGGCGAAGGCGACCACCUGGACUAAUACUGACACUGAGUGCGAAAGCGUGGGGAGCAAACAGGAUUAGAUACCC
rnacentral:rRNA from 1 species